GACGAACGCUGGCGGCGUGCUUAACACAUGCAAGUCGAACGGAAAGGCCCUGCUUUUGUGGGGUGCUCGAGUGGCGAACGGGUGAGUAACACGUGAGUAACCUGCCCUUGACUUUGGGAUAACUUCAGGAAACUGGGGCUAAUACCGGAUAGGAGCUCCUGCUGCAUGGUGGGGGUUGGAAAGUUUCGGCGGUUGGGGAUGGACUCGCGGCUUAUCAGCUUGUUGGUGGGGUAGUGGCUUACCAAGGCUUUGACGGGUAGCCGGCCUGAGAGGGUGACCGGCCACAUUGGGCCUGAGAUGCGCCCCAGCCUCCUACGGGAGGCAGCGGGGGGGAAGGUGACACAGGGGGCGGAGGCCUGAUGCAGCAACGCCGGGUGGGGGAGGCGGGCUUGGGGGUUGUAAACCGAUUUCGCCGGGGACGAAGGGGGAGUGACGGUAAGGGAAAAAGAAGCCCCGGCUAACUACGUG
rnacentral:rRNA from 1 species